rnacentral:lncRNA from 1 species
AAAAGAACAUGCGCAGUAGAUGUUUACUGAUGUGGCUCAAAACAUCCUCUUAGCCUUUCAAUAUUUGGUCUCCCAAUUCAAAUUAGCUGGUGUCAGGUAAUUCUGUUCCUUAGACCUGACCCAGAGUCCACUGAACUUAACAUUCAUGUCCUGAGCAGAUGCUCCACAUCCGUAGUAAAAUGACCUAACCCUGGGGUCAACAUGAAGGAUAAUCUGAGAUUCAUAUCUAUUUCAUUCUGGGUUUCAGACUCAGAAGUUAAUCCUGCUUCAAAAUGAAUUUCUACAUCAACCUACUGAUAACUAACCUGACCAGUCUGAAUGACUCCGCAGCAGAGACUUGCCUGCCAGUAACUGUCCUUGAGGUUUGUUUAUAUUCAGUGGGAAGAAAGGUCACCAGAGACCUGUCCUUGAAUAUUCAAUAAGAAGACUGCUCUUGGGUAGGUGCAAUUGAUUGUGGUCAGGAAUUGGAAUCAUGUGGUCCAGAGUGAGCUCAGCAGAGACUGUGGAUAAGGUAGGUAAUGACAAUUAAAUGUAACAGAUACAAAUGUUCACAUUCAAAUAGCUUCUCAAAUGAAAAGUAACGAAGGCUUGCCAUGGUAACAUUUUAAAUGAAAAACUGAUCGUGGCUUUGUUAAUUAUAAGAUUAUUUUGGGCUAAUAAUAUGAUGUAGAAUUUGUAGAUAAGGACACUGACCAACUAGUAUGUGGCCUUCACAUGGUGAUCACAAGGGGAAGUCUCUAUAAUUUAUGUGAUAUGCAAAAUGACAUUGAAAGCAAUGAAGGAAUUGCCUUAAAUAUUUACAUUGUCAUAUGGAAGAGAUAAAGCACCAGUUUUGUAUUACUCCUGUGGACAGGAGUAGAGACGGUGAGUUUAGGAGCGACAGGAGGAACAACUUUAAAUCACUUAGAACGCUCCAAAAUAGAAAGUGUUAGCUGUGGC